GACUUCUCUCAACCACAUCGAUCAUGAAUGUGGCUUGGAUUGUGGGGUUGCAGGCUUCUACAAAUGAAGUCCAGCUUUCCUGAAAUGCAUUAGUGGUGUCUGAGCUGCUAUUUGGUGUGAUAACUUAUCUAUGCCUUUUGGUAAUGCUGAUCAGCACGGCUUAUAACAACAUAUUUUGACAA
rnacentral:misc_RNA from 1 species